AAAUGAGAAGCGAAUAUUGCACUCAGUUUCGACCUGAAUAUUGGUUAAUUUAACCCUCAUUUA
rnacentral:tRNA from 1 species